rnacentral:rRNA from 1 species
CCUACGGGAGGCAGCAGUGAGGAAUAUUGGUCAAUGGCCGUAAGCCUGAACCAGCCAAGUCGCGUGAGGGAUGAAGGUUCUAUGGAUCGUAAACCUCUUUUAUCAGGGAAUAAAGCGCGGGACGUGUCCCGUUUUGUAUGUACCUUAUGAAUAAGGAUCGGCUAACUCCGUGCCAGCAGCCGCGGUAAUACGGAGGAUCCGAGCGUUAUCCGGAUUUAUUGGGUUUAAAGGGUGCGUAGGCGGCCUUUUAAGUCAGCGGUGAAAGUCCGUGGCUCAACCAUAGAAUUGCCGUUGAAACUGGGAGGCUUGAGUAUGUUAGAGGCAGGCGGAAUGCGUGGUGUAGCGGUGAAAUGCUUAGAUAUCACGCAGAACCCCGAUUGCGAAGGCAGCCUGCCAAGCCAUGACUGACGCUGAUGCUCGAAAGUGUGGGUAUCAAACAGGAUUAGAUACCCCUGUAGUC